GAUUCUUGUUCCUUCUUCCUUGUCUUGCAACAGAGAGAGAGAGAGAAAAAACUUUUGUUCCUUUUCCCUUCUUGCAACCAAGAGGGCCCAAAUCCAGCCUUUCUUUCCUUGUUUUCUUGUUCCCCUUGUUUCCCUAGAGGAGAGCUGAGAAAGAGUGGAGAAAGCUUGAAAAAAUUCUCCUCCUUGAGCUGGAAAAUUGAGAAACUUGAGAAGCAUAAAAGAGUAGCCCUUACCUCCUUCCAUCUUUUCCCAACAAAUCAAGAAGAGAAAAGCUCCAACAUUCCAAGCUUGUUCCAACCGAGAAAUUGAGUGGUGAGUAAGCAGUUUUGUUACUUUUCUAAGUCUUGAAACCGAGGGGGAAACUUGAGGGGAGCUUGAGGGAUUUCAUCCAUGACCAAUUUCACAACCAAGGGGAAAGUGCUUGAGAAAGAUUGGAGAAACUUUGCUUCAUCCUUGUUGUUGCAGCCCCGAGAGAGAGGAAAAGAUUGGAGAGCUACCAGCCUUGAUUCUUCAAUUUCCAACUUCAAUUUCUUGCGGAAAAAGAGGUUAAAAGGGCUGUAAAUCCUUCCUUCUUCCAUGUUUUUUUAAGCUUUAAGGAUCUAAGUUGAGGUUGGGCAGAAAAGAGUGAGUUUUGGUGAAGAAAAGUUUCAAAUUUUCUUGCUGGAAAUUCUGCUUAGCUAAUGACAGAUUUAUUGUGGUAGUUGAUGACAUAUUUUGUGAAUUUUUUGGUGAAAUGUUUGGCUAAAAUAGGUACGCACCAGAAACAGAUUUUUGCUAAUUGUUUCAUUUUAUGUUUGAUAUAUUACAUGUUAUGUAUUUAGUAUUUUCAAACAAGUUAAAGCUUAGAACUUCAGGUGACAGUCACCUCUGGACAGUUUUAGUAAAAUGAUAAUAACUUAGUGUAAAAAAAUCGAAUUUGAGUGCCAUCAAUUGUGUUUGAAACUAGACUCAGAGAGCUUUCUAUGGUAUAAAAUUUGAGCUGUGGUCCAUUUAUAUAUGCACCAGAAAAUUGGCAAUUUUGACUGAAAAUUCUGCUCUCCACAAGUAAAAACUGGAAUGUUGUAGUAAAUUGCGGCUCAAUUUGGAUCAAUUUAUGAACUUAAUCUCUUUGAGGUGUCUUCGAAAGAUUGUUAGUGCUUCGAGUCUAAUUUUAAUGGGGCAAGUUAUAUGCUUUUUUGACAUUUAUAACUCAAGUUAUGAUUUUUCAAAGGAACGAUACUUGCUAAAAAAUUCCAGUUUCAAAGGUACUCGAGUGCUACGAAUUUCAACUUUCCUUGCUGAAAAUUCAUGAUUUUAAACUCAUGAUUGUAUACUUUGAGAUUGAUGGAUUUCUUUACUAACAACUAAUGCUAUAUGUUUCUUUCUAUGCCGGAUGUGAAAGAUAUUAUGAGUUUGGUAUUUUGAACAAAUGAAAAGCUGGAUCUUGACAAAAGUUUUGAAAGUGUUUGCUAGGAAUUGUGUUUGGCCGAGGGAGAGAAAGAAAGGAUUUUUGUGUCUAUUUUCAAAAUUUGGUGGUGACCUUAGACAAAUUUGUUCUAUAUAUUGUAUAAGACUUUACUUUCACAUAUAUGUGUGAUUUAUUAAGCAAACACCAAGUGUUUUAAGUGGAAAUAAACUCACCUUUCGAAUUCCGUUUCUUGAUGGUACACUUCUAGUUUUGGAACCGAGAGAAGGGAUGAAAUUUUGUCCAAUAUUCUUCAAAUCCCUUGGCCAUAAUCGAUCUCUUUUGCUCCUAUACCACUGACAACUAUUGAUUAAUUUGCACGUGAUUUUUCCCUUGUUUUGAACACGAAAAUCUAGUGAUCUUUUGAAUGAGUUUUUGGAAGUUGACAUGUCUCAAAUGUGGUAGUUUGAAAUUGUGAACUUUUGAUAUAUUCUUUUGGUUUUAGGACUUGAAAGUGGGCGAGAACGUGAGCCCGGUACUGGAAUGUGAAAUUCUCAUUAUAUGGGGUGCGGGGAUAAGAGAGACAAGAAUAGUAAUGGUUUGUAAUAGAGUAUCUUGAGUUUGUAUUUGGCCGACACUGUAUUAUGGUACUAAUCGUUUAAGUUCUUUUCCUUUGGUUUGUACUUUGGAUUGAAUAUUUGGACUAUUUAUAGCAUGUAAAUGUUAUAUUGAA